rnacentral:rRNA from 1 species
UACAGAGGGUGCAAGCGUUAAUCGGAAUUACUGGGCGUAAAGCGUGCGUAGACGGUUGCGUAAGUCAGAUGUGAAAGCCCCGGGCUCAACCUGGGAAUUGCAUUUGAGACUGCGUAGCUAGGGUGCGGAAGAGGGAAGCGGAAUUUCCGGUGUAGCGGUGAAAUGCGUAGAUAUCGGAAGGAACACCAGUGGCGAAGGCGGCAUCCUGGACCGGCAUUGACGCUGAUGAGCGAAAGCUAGGGGAGCAAACGGG